rnacentral:lncRNA from 1 species
GGCCUGCGGGGCGCGCGGGGGCGGAGUUCGGUGCCCGCCCACCUGCCCGGGCGACAAUGCGGUGACCCGGGGGCGGCCCUCGCCGCGCGCCGGAGACGUGCGCCCUGGGGCCAAGUAGCAGCAGAGGGAAGAGGCCAGGGUGUGACCGCACAAGGAAGUGCCAGCUGGAAGGGUAGACACUGCAGGAGGAAGCCACCCUCUCCCCAAAGGGCCAGUGCGGCUUACCAUACACAUGGGAACUAUGAAGCCCAAAGAGCAGCCUGAACCCCAGCCUGCUGUUCCUCACCCCAUGACCUGGGGCAAGUCAUGGAGGCUCUCUAAGAAGAUGCUGGCCUUGGUGGUGCAUGCCUGUAUUCCCAGCAUUCAGGAGGCUGAGGCAGGAGGAUCCCUGAGAGUUUGAGGCCAGCCAGGGCUUAGCAGAAGCCUGUCUCAAAUAAGACAAAACAAAAACAAAAGAAAGAAUCAGAAGGGCCUUCCAUUUGGGACUGAAGAAGACAUUCAAAAUCCUCAGGCAAGACUGGGUGUGUGGCAGUGCUUAAGAGGCUGAGGUGGAAGGAUGUCAAGUUCAAGACCAGCCCACCUAGUGACAGCCUGUCUCAAAAAGGAAAAUAAAAGACAUCCUCAGGUGAGUGAAGCCUAGAGCAGGUGCUCAGGCAGGAGGCUCUGGUGGUCUUUAGCAACGCAGACAAAUGCAGUUCCUGUGACCUGGGGUGCAGGUGGCAUAUUAGCAGCCAUGUUUAUAUAUAUAUAUAUAUAUAUAUAUAUUUUUUUUUUUUUUUUUUGGUUCCAGGGAUUGAACUUGGGACCUUGUGCUUUCGAGGCAGGAGGAGGAACCACUGAGUGAAAUCCCCAGCCCCACAUUUAUAUUUCUUAAAAAUGACCCUGUAAACCAGUCUUCCCCAGAAUCUAAAGCUUUUGAAAAAUGCCCUUGGCCUUGGGAGCUCCUCCUAGGUCUCUGCAGGCCGUGUAACUGGGGAUCCAGGCCAGAGCCUCGCUGGGAGCCCCUGCAGCGCCAGGUGCGGCCGGCCCUGGGAGCUAGGCCGAAUUCCUG